CAUGUGUUCAGCACCCUGAAAUAUUUGCGUAAAGUGCUUUAGUAUUUGCUGACUCUGCUGUUUCUCAGAUUGCCUGGGGGCAAAGUGGUGGGCAUCUUUGGAAAGCAGAAGCAGACUAUGGUCUUGCGAGGCUGUCCUGUGUCGGUCAUAUCUGGGGUGUGUAUGGCGUCCCCUUUCCUGAGGAAUUCCUGUCUCCAUACCACGUGUCAGUAGAUAGCUGUGAUCCCUGAGCACCAGAUACUUGUUGAAUGAAGGGAACCCAACUGGUUUUAGAAGAAGUCAGAUUUGGUUAUGGCUUUACCUGGUACUGCAGUAUUCACCUCACCGCAGCACCUUCUGCGCCUUUGGAGGCUGACUCCUUGAAGGUGGCAGACUCCUGGGUCUUCUCAUCCCAUGCCUCUCCCUGUAAGUGAUAAGGCUGCGUUAAUCUGUAUUCCCUGCAAUCUCAGAGCUGGAC
rnacentral:lncRNA from 1 species